AUGUCUAAUCAGAUUUUUUGGAAGCGACAGCAACGCCCCUACGAGACUCGAUUGAUUCUUCCUGUGUUUGCCUCUGUUUUUAAGGCCACUGCGAAAUCUCAGUCGCAUUGCGAAUCAACUCGCAGUCUGCGGCUGAAAAUGGUAGCCGCUGCUGCGCAAAAGAUGAAUGUCCUACUGUUCAUGUUCGUGUUUUGGAGUGGCCAAACAUUAGCCCAAGAAGAUCAUCCCGAAAUGAUGUCGUCGUUGGGUCAACCGUGUAAUUGUACGGACACAAUUUUCCGGUUCUCCGAGAGAGCGUUGAAUAGCGAAAAGACCAUCAGACUAUCAACGUUUAGGAACAGAGAUCGUCAAAAGGCGUUGUUGGUCGUUAACGUGGCUACUUACUGAGGGUUUACCGAACAGUACCACGAACUGAAUGCACUGCAAGACGAAUUAUUCAGAGAUUUGGCCAUCUUAGCUUUUCCUUGUAACCAAUUCGGCAAGCAAGAACCAGGGGGAUCAGAUUUAGAAAUCUUGAAUGGAAUCCGUUACGUUCGUCCGGGCGAUAAUUUCCAGCCCAAGAUGACGCUCUUCCAAAAGACCGUCGUCAACGGUGCUAAUCAACAUCCACUAUUUGCAUAUCUAAAGAGCUGCUGUCCGCCCACUCGAGACUAUUUCGAGGAAUCAACGAAAUUGUACUACACCCCAAUUCGUAACAGCGACAUCCGCUGGAACUUUGAAAAAUUCCUGAUCGAUCGCAAAGGAAUACCCGUGAUGCGCUACGACGCUAUGGCUCGUGUAGCGGACAUGCGCAGUGACAUUGAUGCGCUUGUUAAUUUCUAAACACAUUAACCCUUUUUCUAUUUCAACAUUUUUUUUUUUUUAACCUGACUAAUGUCUUUUUCCAUAUUCGUUUGUCUCGUUUUAAUGAUGUGAGCUUCUCUGGGUUUGUAUGUUGAGUUUGACACAUGAUCCUCUAGAUCUCAACUGUCCGAAACGUGACGGCGGUCUAAGGGGGGAGGCUAAGCUCUCAGUUGGCUGGAAACGAAUCCGAAACCGAGAAACGACGUCACUCUUGGAGCUCUUUUGUGCAUUCUAAGGGCAAUCGGAUCGAGUUUCCAUGCCGCAGAGUCUUGUCAUCGACUAUAAUUCCCGAGACUCAUAUCGAUUUUGUCGCUCUAUUUAGUUCUUAUAAUUGAAUAAACGCUCUCCUAUUCUUUGGAAGGAGGAAAAAAAAAGGAAAA